UCAUGGAAGGAAGAGAGGGGGUGCACAUCUGGGGCAUAGAGAUCUCAUGUUAAUAAGAGAGUAGGGCAUAGAGAAUAUAUCACAUAGGGUGUUCCAAGUUGGUUAAGUCAUAUUCCAAAUAAGACUCAAGGUCUUGGUUAAAUUCUAACCAAUUCUUGGAUCCAAUCCUAACUAACUUAGGAAUUAGUUAUAACAAACUA
rnacentral:lncRNA from 1 species